rnacentral:rRNA from 1 species
AGAAUCAACGCUGGCGGCGUGCCUAACACAUGCAAGUCGCACGAGAAAGGGGAGCAAUCCCUGAGUACAGUGGCGCACGGGUGAGUAACACGUGAAUAAUCUACCUCCGAGUGGGGAAUAACUGAGAGAAAUCUUAGCUAAUACCGCAUAACACUUACGAGUCAAAGCAGCAAUGCGCUUGGAGAGGAGUUCGCGGCCGAUUAGUUAGUUGGCGGGGUAAUGGCCCACCAAGACGAUGAUCGGUAUCCGGCCUGAGAGGGCGCACGGACACACUGGAACUGAAACACGGUCCAGACUCCUACGGGAGGCAGCAGUGGGGAAUAUUGCGCAAUGGGCGAAAGCCUGACGCAGCAACGCCGCGUGGAGGAUGAAGCCCCUUGGGGCGUAAACUCCUUUCGACCAAGACGAUAAUGACGGUACUGGUAGAAGAAGCACCGGCUAACUCUGUGCCAGCAGCCGC